rnacentral:rRNA from 1 species
UACGUAGGUGGCAAGCGUUGUCCGGAAUUAUUGGGCGUAAAGCGCGCGCAGGCGGUCCUUUAAGUCUGAUGUGAAAGCCCACGGCUCAACCGUGGAGGGUCAUUGGAAACUGGGGGACUUGAGUGCAGGAGAGAAGAGUGGAAUUCCACGUGUAGCGGUGAAAUGCGUAGAGAUGUGGAGGAACACCAGUGGCGAAGGCGGGUAGCUGGGCCGACACUGACGCUGAGGCGCGAAAGCCAGGGGAGCGAACGGG